UACGUAGGGGGCAAGCGUUGUCCGGAUUUACUGGGCGUAAAGAGCGUGUAGGCGGUUAGGUAGGUCCGUUGUGAAAACUCGAGGCUCAACCUCGAGACGCCGAUGGAAACCAUCUGACUAGAGUCCGGAAGAGGAGAGUGGAAUUCCUGGUGUAGCGGUGAAAUGCGCAGAUAUCAGGAAGAACACCCGUGGCUAAGGCGGCUCUCUAGUACGGUACUGACGCUGAGACACGAAGGCCAGGGGAGCAAACGGG
rnacentral:rRNA from 1 species